GCUGAUUCAGAUGUGUGCGGCCCAGCAGAGGUAAACUUUUGGACCAGAUGCCAUGAACUUUGGCCUCGAGUCAAGUGCGGCCGUCAGCGCGGGCGAUGCUCACAGUGUGGGCCUGCUGCGCCAUCAGAACUCAAGUGGGCUGCCUGCGUGGGAACCUAAAAAUAGGCGGCGCGUCCCCACCCAGAGCAGCUGCUGCUGCGCUGCUGAACUUGCUUUGUAUAAUGCAAUUAUAAACACUCUCCUUUAUAAGAAGUGUUUGCUCCAAGGAGGCUCUCCACAAAUGAAGAGCAUGGAGCCGUCAGAGGAAGUGGCGCCGGCACUGUCGCAGGUGUGCGACCCUCCGGCUGCGUUUCAAUUAGGCCUUGCUGCUGCAGCCACUCCACCGCCCCUGCCGGACGCGGUGUUGGAGACGGAGAUCGACAGGCUUGGACCUUGGUCAGCCAGCUGCAGCAGCAGCAUCCGGGCCUCCGGACGCCAGCGCUUCCCUGGCAGCCGCUUGUUUCAUUUGGACCUCUGCAAUGUUUACGUUGAGGGAUCGUUCGGGGAACACGUGCAAAAGCUGGACUGCACUGGAAGCGGCAGCUCUAUUAUUUAGCGAGCAGAAACAAUGAGCUGCAGUUGCAUAAGGGUGCAGACAGCGGUGAUUAAUAUAGGUGAGAUUAGCUGAAUUAGCAAAUUCAGUACGAGAGCCUUUUGAGUUAAUUUAAAAAUACCUCUCUGCAGUGGGACCUCUGCACACGCUCACUCAUUCACACCAGGCCUAGUGUUUACCUGUUUAAUCAGUCAUUUUAAAACUGAAUACAUUUGUCCUACAUGGGAUAAAUGUACUGUAGGCUUUUUUCCGUUGCCCCAGUGUCAGUGAAAUGAUAUUCAGGCUUUCAAAUUGAAGGACUCGACGUAAUCAGCUCACUUCUUAGUGUGUCUCUGUUUAUUUCUCUGCAGAUUAUGAGCAAGAGGCUUCAGGGGAUUUUGGCAGCGGCAAUGAUGAUGACGAAUGUAAACAGAAACCGCAACAGAUCCACACCCAGCAGCUACUGAGGAGGACGAUGAAGCUGGAUGUGUUUGGUAGUUCUGCCCCAUCUGCUCCGCCAUCAUCCACCCAGGAAUCCGAAAUUCAUUUCCAUCUUUAAAAUGGUUCAAGCUCGCUUUCAACCAGCGGAGCAGCGUGUGCAUCUUUUAUCUUGGCUUUAUUAUUGUUUUGGAACAACUUUAUGACUUUAUGGCUAUAACAUUUAACAGUCCCAGAUGAGGCUCAUUUAGAUCUGACUUAGAUUUCUUCUUCUCUGCCUGUCUUUAUUUGCCCACUUGCCCCUUUUGUUCUGGUUUCGUCGUGUCGUCCAUGUGAAAGCGUAUCAUUGUCAGAACCUCGUCUAGGAGGUCACAGAUAUUAGCGUACUGUACAUAUGGUCAUAAAUAUGGAUUUUUUUUAAUGUUUACAGUCAAUGUCAGACUGAAAUAGCUCAUAUACGUUGGAGGUAAAUAUAUAAAUAUACAUUAAAGUCAAACUCAAACUUACUCUAUUUAGCUUUUUACCUUUCAUAAAGAAGCCCAUGUUCUACCAGGUUUGGCCUGUUUGAAAAAGAAAAAGCUUUCCUUUUCAAGCACACCUAAAGGGAAAUAACAGAAAUCAGGCUACUUUGAAAAUCGAGAUACAAAGGUUGCAGCACCAAACUGUCAAUGAAGCAUCUUGAAGAGUUGGGAGAUUUUGAUCUGUCGAAGUGUGAUGCAUGUCUGAGGCGAGUUCAGGUCUCUCUCUGGAGUCUGCUCCUCCUGAUGGAUGAGUGUUCGUGCUUUCAAGGUUUUCUGGGUUGGCAAAAACAUUUGUCUCCUUGGGUCUUAUUAUAACUAACCAGCAUGUUCUAGCUGUGAAACACUAUUACUAUUAAAAUGAUGCAUAAAUCAUUGUGUCCACAAAUGAGGAGAUAAAUGGGCACAAUGUUGGCGCUAUUUCAAUAUUAGAAUAAAACGUAUUGUUCACAUUGGCGUAAAUACUAU
rnacentral:lncRNA from 1 species